CCUACGGGAGGCUGCAGUAGGGAAUCUUCCACAAUGGGCGAAAGCCUGAUGGAGCAACGCCGCGUGGGUGAAGAAGGUCUUCGGAUCGUAAAACCCUGUUGUUAGAGAAGAAAGUGCGUGAGAGUAACUGUUCACGUUUCGACGGUAUCUAACCAGAAAGCCACGGCUAACUACGUGCCAGCAGCCGCGGUAAUACGUAGGUGGCAAGCGUUAUCCGGAUUUAUUGGGGGUAAAGGGAACGCAGGCGGUCUUUUAAGUCUGAUGUGAAAGGCGUCGGCUUAACCGGAGUAGUGCAUUGGAAACUGGGAGACUUGAGUGCAGAAGAGGAGAGUGGAACUCCAUGUGUAGCGGUGAAAUGCGUAGAUAUAUGGAAGAACACCAGUGGCGAAAGCGGCUCUCUGGUCUGUAACUGACGCUGAGGUUCGAAAGCGUGGGUAGCAAACAGGAUUAGAUACCCCAGUAGUC
rnacentral:rRNA from 1 species